rnacentral:rRNA from 1 species
AGCAGCCGCGGUAAUUCCAGCUCCAAUAGCGUAUAUUAAAGUUGUUGCAGUUAAAAAGCUCGUAGUUGAAUUUCGGGGUCAGUGAGUUGGUCGUGCCACUGGUAUGCACUGGCUUUACUGAUUCCUCCUUCUUGAAGAACUGUAAUGCUAUUAAUUUAGUGUUGCAGGGAAACAGGACUGUUACUUUGAAAAAAUUAGAGUGUUUAAAGCAGGCUAACGCUUGAAUACAUUAGCAUGGAAUAAUGAAAUAGGACGUUUGAUCCUAUUUUGUUGGUUUCUAGGAUUGACGUAAUGAUUAAUAGGGAUAGUUGGGGGCAUUAGUAUUCAAUUGUCAGAGGUGAAAUUCUUGGAUUUAUUGAAGACUGACUACUGCGAAAGCAUUUGCCAAGGAUGUUUUCAUUAAUCAAGAACGAAAGUUAGGGGAUCGAAGACGAUCAGAUACCGUCGUAGUCUUAACCAUAAACUAUGCCGACUAGGGAUCGGAUGAUGUUAAUUUUUAAUGA